rnacentral:sRNA from 2 species
GUUUGCACUUGUCGGGGAAGUGUGAGAACCUUCGAUUAAGGUUCGACUCGAGCGAAAGCGAGAGAACGUUGCCAACGGCAACGGCCCGUAGGUUGAGGAGCGAAGCGACGAAUAAUCCUUCCCCCACCACCA